AUUGAACGCUGGCGGCAGGCCUAACACAUGCAAGUCGAGCGAGCGGCGGACGGGUGAGUAAUGCCUAGGAAUCUGCCUGGUAGUGGGGGAUAACGUCCGGUACCGGGCGCUAAUACCGCAUACCAUCGGAUUUGCCCAGAUGGGAUUCGCUUGUAGGUGAGGUAACGGCUCACCUAGGCGACGAUCCCUAGCUGGUCUGAGAGGAUGACCAGCCACACUGGAACUGAGACACGGCCCAGACUCCUACGGGAGGCAGCAGUGGGGAAUAUUGCACAAUGGGCGCAAGCCUGAUGCAGCCAUGCCGCGUGUAUGAAGAAGGCCUUCGGGUUGUAAAGUACUUUCAGCGGGGAGGCGUUACCCGCAGAAGAAGCACCGGCUAACUCCGUGCCAGCCGCCGCGGUAAUUC
rnacentral:rRNA from 1 species